AUCUCUAUCUGGAGGUCAUCCCUCUUGGAACACUUCAGUGAGCCCAGGACACAGGUUUUUAUGACCAGGCUGUCCUGUUUUGGCUGAAGGUGUUGAAGAGGAUAAAGGAACAAGCUGCUAAGACUUGACAAACCACUCAGAAAUGAAAUAAUCUUAGCCUGACUUCAGAAGGGAAGCUGUGGGAUCCUGCAGUAAUUUGUCUGUGGAUGGAAAAGAACCCACUAGAACUGGCAAAAAAAAAAAACUGAGCUCCACUGAUAGGGCUGCACUGACUAGUCUGAGUCUUAACAUAUCUGAUCGCCAAGUGAGUUAACUCAGCGUUUCAUAUGGUCAGUUUGCAGAAAGAAACACUACAACGCUGUUGUACUGUGGCCACGCUCAAGUCUUUACCACUGGCAUUUCCAAUCUGAGCUCUCAUCCCCAGUAAAUACUGACAGAGCACUCAGUGAUUUUUUUUUUUUCCUUCACACCUUAAAACUCCCAGCAUUUUCUAUGUGUUCUUGAGGAAGCCCACAGCAACCUCUUGCCCAUUUUGCUCUUGUGUGAUGGUUAGAUUGAGAUGUAAAUGCUUUGUGAGCGUUUUCUAAAAGAAUUUGAUUCAGGCAGAUAUCCCCUCUUGAUUAUACAAUUCCAACAUAUUCACAACAUAUUUGCUGUAAGAGAAUGAAAUAAAUUUGUAGCACCAUCUCAUAAAUAUAUCUUCAGAUCCUGUUAGCUUUCAUCAUGUUUUGACCAGCUACCUGCAUUUCUGAUUUCUGUUCAUUUCUUAAUGUCAAGCAAGAAGUGGCUAUGGGCAGAGAUUUCAAAUAUUGCUACAAAAAGGUUUCCUUUCAAUAUCAUUCUGCAAUUCUUAUCCCAUCUCGGAUGCACAUUCUGCAACCCCUCCUCUAUGGAAGAUCUAAAUUUUUCUCUUCUGCUUUUUCUCACCUAAGCAGUUCCAAGCCUGGAUUCUUAUCUUGCCCUGGAGCUCUCCUGUAAUUUCCCAUACAGUUCCAACCAUAAAUCUUUCAAUUCAGCAGAGAUCAGCAAUGCUGCUGCAGUCAGCAUGCAUAUUUCUUUCUUUUCUUCUGCCUUGGGCUCCUCCUCCUUCCAGCACUGUACUUCUGCACCCUUUUCUGUCUGCUGUGCAGGCUUCACCCUGGAAGUUAUUUAACUCAUCAGACCAGGUCGCAGGCUGCAGUUUAGUUCACAUUUCCAUAGAUUCACAUACUCAAGUUCCUCCUUUCUUGUUCAAUGUGGUUUUUCUUGUUUGUUUGUUUUGUUUUUUCGCAGUUUUAGAGGAAGAGGGAAAGGGUCCCCACACAGUGUCAUUGUAAAUGAUUGUUCUUAAUCCAAUCUUUUGCACUUAGAACCCAUGAACUCAUUAUUUCAUUCUGCUUCAAUAACGUUUAUCCAUCAGUGGCUUUUUCCCCAAGUAAAAUAGUAAAAAAUCCUUUGAAACCCUUUCAUUUUAUUUCAGAUUCUGUGAACAGUAUCUACUGUAAAUAGCAUCCUGUUCUUUUAUUGAUACGUACUUCUAAGAAGAGGUUUCUGUACAAGGGUUGAAAACAAAACCAGCACAAAAUCUAAGCUACGCUUCCAACUGACAUUUUUGGUUCAUGUCCUUAUUCCAUUAGCCAUGUUUUUUGCAAUCAAAUCGGCAGUUUUUAUAAAAAUCUGUUUUAAUUGCCCAUUCCUGUCUCCUAAAACAGCAUUUCGAUAUGGUGGGGGGGGAGGAGAAGAUUGAUCGUGUUUUGUUCUAUAGCAUCACUUAAAAAGAUUUGCAAUGAAGCAAGAGUUAAAGGGGAAUUUAGGUUUAGCUUGGAAAAAAACAGAAACUGGUGGGUAUAAGUGUGUGUGGUCAGAUACAACAGCUGACAUGAGGUCAGUCCCUCUCCGGAAUCAAACUUCUCCUCAGAAGUGUGUCUUAUGCUUAUAUGUCUUGAGCAACCAGUCUCCUCCCUUCCUAUAGAAGAGGAGAAAUCUUGUAAGAAAUAAUGCCAAAUUCAACCUACCUGUACUGAAGUGCAGUGAGAUUGUCAAGUUCUCCUUAACACACACACACGCAGCACUAAGGGCAUGUGCUGUCAUACAUAAAAGUCAAGGUCUGCAGUUGUUAUAUUUUAGCUAAUGGAACUAAAUGUGUAUUUAGUAAAAAUGUAUUACUUAAAAAGAUGUUGCAUUUUUGUAGCAGUUGUGGGUUAACUCUUGGCUUCCUAAUUUGAUUUCUGCUUAAAUGUUAGAUAAGCGCAUAAUUGCAUAAACUAUUUAACUGCUUGUUGCCCUCUCAUCUGCGUUCAGAUCUGAUUAAAAUGAUCUUUUCUGCCU
rnacentral:lncRNA from 1 species